UUCGGCCUAAAGUUGGUGUAGGAAGUAGCAGCCUAAUAAGAAAACAGUAACCCACCAACAGAUGGGCUAUUAUAUGAGUCCAAAAGCCCACAAUUUCACGAUCUGUUUGUUGUUUUCUUGAGAGAGGAAAAAUUAUCUGAAUAUUACUAAUUUUCUUAUUUCAUUGAUCAUUAUUUUUUUGUGAGAACUAUAUAAAACAAAAUGCUCAGAUUUUGUUGAAUUAUUAUGCACUGUCCAC
rnacentral:lncRNA from 1 species